CUGGCUCAGAACGAACGCUGGUGGCGUGUCUUAUACAUGCAAGUCGAGCGGUCCGCAAGGAUAGCGGCGAACGGGUGAGUAACGCGUAAGCAAUCUGCCCCGCAUAUUGGGAUAGCCGUGCCAACGCGCGGAUAAUACCGAAUAACGUGGCCCCGGACAUCCGGGGUUGACGAAAGAUUCAUCGAUGCGGGAUGAGCUUGCGUCCGAUUAGCUAGUUGGCGGGCAACGGCCCACCAAGGCGACGAUCGGUAGCCGGCCUGAGAGGGUGAUCGGCCACAUUGGGACUGAGAUACGGCCCAGACUCCUACGGGAGGCAGCAGUAGGGAAUAUUGCACAAUGGGGGAAACCCUGAUGCAGCAACGCCACGUGUGGGAAGAAGCAUUUCGGUGUGUAAACCACUGUCGUGAGGGAAUAAUACGCGUCUUCGGGCGCGGGAGAAUGUACCUCGAAAGGAAGCACCGGCAAACUUCGUGCCAGCAGCGGC
rnacentral:rRNA from 1 species